GAUGAAGAACGCAGCGAAAUGCGAUAAGUAAUGUGAAUUGCAGAAUUCAGUGAAUCAUCGAAUCUUUGAACGCACAUUGCGCCCGCCAGCAUUCUGGCGGGCAUGCCUGUCCGAGCGUCAUUUCAACCCUCAGGGUCCCUCCGCCUCGCGCGGUCGGAGCCUGGUGUUGGGGAUCGGCCCGCCCCGCGCGGCGCCGUCCCCAAAUACAGUGGCGGUCCCGCCGCAGCCUCCCCUGCGCAGUAGUUAUCAACUCGCACUGGAGCGCGGCGCGGCCACGCCGUAAAACCCCCGACUUUUAGAAAGUUGACCUCGGAUCAGGUAGGAAUACCCGCUGAACUUAAGCAUAUCAAUAAGCGGAGGA
rnacentral:misc_RNA from 1 species